ACCCCAAGGCUUUUCCUAUAGGGAAAAGGGGUCGCUAGGCAGUGUGGCGUUGCUAGGGGGCGUGGAUAAGUCCCGUUCUCCCCCAAAGAGGAGCGGUUGGAGCCCAAAACCGCAACAUUGCCGACCUGCACCUCAACCGCGCCACCCUCCUCCUAUACCAGGAGAGCUUCGGGGCUGCACUGGACGGCCUGAGCCUCGCGGCUGCGCUGGCGCCCGGGUGGUCGGAGCCUCGGCGGCGCCACGCCCACCUGCUGGACUUCCUGGAGAGGCUGCGCGCCGCGAUGGCCAAUCGGGUGCGUCCCCGGUAGGGUGAAGCUGUCGGCGGGGGCUGGAAGUGGGCGGUGCCUCGAGCAGAGGCGGGGCCAGCGACGGGCUCCACCCCCUGCGGCCAGGAGCCAAUCCCGGGCACGCAAUGAGUGUGCGGGUCCUGUUCACCCUGAGCCCCCCGGAGCGUGUCCAGUUGUGAGUGACAGCUUCCAAUCAAACUAGGGGACCCAGAAGUGCCCCAGUGGACUCAGGUGUUUGGGAAAGACCCAGGAGUGCCCCAAGGGACCCAGGGGUUCAGGAGGGGACCGAGGAGUCUGGGACGGACCCAGGAGUGCGGGGGGAACUAAGGAGUUCAGGGGGGGAACCAGGAGUGCUACAAUGGACCCAGGUGUUUGGGAGGGACCCGGGAGUUCUGGGGGGGACCUAGGAGUUCAGGAGGGCCCCCCCCCCAUCACAUGACCCCGCUGUCCAUUCAGGGCGCUGGGCGUGGCCGUGGGGGGCGGGGCCCUGGCCGUGGUCACCAUGUACAGUUGGGGGGUGGGGUGGGGGAGGGGCUGUCGGUGCCCAGCCCCCACCUGACCCUGCACCAGCACCUUCACCAGGGACAGGAUCUUACAGCCAUGCAGUUGGCACGGUGCUGUGCGCAGAGUUUGCAGGUGGAGCUGCCCCACCACCGGGGACCGCUCGGUGGGUCACGGACCAGAGAAUCCCAAGUGGGUGAUGGAGAGGACGCUCGGCACAAAGCGCCUCUGCCCCGAGAUGCCAGCAUGAGACAGGAGGGUCCGUCCUCCCGUCCCACCACUCUGCAGGGGCCACAGUCCCCAGAGUCAAAAUACGGGAAGAACAAGCCCAGCCCUUCCUGCCAGAGCGGAGCAGAGCACCUCGAGGGGAGGCCCGGCCCUAGGAAAUGCCGUACAUGGGCUCCUUGGUGUCUCGCUGUCUGUCCAGCACUCUGGCAGGCAACUACUUCCCCACAGCACUCCUGAGUCUAUGAAACAGAGGUGGAAAAGGAAGGCACAUCAAAACUUCUCCCAGCUUCUCCAGACCUCUGCACUUUUCUGCUCCAGGCAGGAAAAAAAACCACUUUCUUAACGGCCUGGUUUAAAGCAACAGGACAGCACAGUGCUUGCAGGGCUGGGAUUGCAGCUUCAGGUGACACACAAACUCAGAGCAGCCCUAAAAACCCUGCAGACUCCAAGGAACUUGCUCUCCUCCAGCAGUAACGACCUUGUCAUCAGAACACGCAAGAACAGCCUGGCCAAGAGAGUGUGAACCGCCCAGCAACAGCCUCACUGCCCAGGACCUGGGCCCAACAUCCUCGCUGGAAUCGAUGGGGCAGUUCUGGCUUGAAGAGCAGGAAGAUGAAGUGAUGGCAGCCAGUGCCCACGGCAGGGAAGGGGGGCAGGUGACGGCAGAUCUUCUUCCCCGACUGCAUGUCAUUGCCUGGGAUGUUCGUCCUGAACACACACAAGUUUACUUCACUAUAUAUCCAUUCAUUUCCUUCCCUUAGGGCCAGCAGAUUCCCCCAGGAUUGCACAUCACUCUGGGCUACGUUGUGACGCAACCUAUGCCCUGUUUGACAAGCAAACAGACAGCAGAGGCUGCUUUCACUGGGAAAAAAAUAUCACACUCAGCGUUUUGAAAGCCAAACAGCAACAACACCUGAACUCCUGCAUCUUUAGCAGGACCCAGAACAUGGGCGUGAAGAAGCCACUGGCAGGAGCACCAGAGAACCACAGAACUGUCUCAGCAAAUCCUUAUUCCAGAGCUCUGUUGAAGGAGUUUCUGCCCGCUCCGCCGGGGCUUUCCCCGAGCCCAGCAGCGCGGCUCUGCCGUGCGGUACUCACACCAGCCAGUGCAGGUACUCCGAGUGCGCGUCUCUUCAACGUCCUUCUGCAACAGAGACUUCGUGAUAGGAUCACAGAAUCAUUUGGGUUCGAAGAGACCCUCAAGAUCACUGAGCCCAACCAUAACCCAACUCUGGCACUAACCCGUGUCCACAAGAACCUCAUCUACACGUCUUUUAAACUCUUCCUGGGAUGGUGACUCCACCACUGCCCUGGGCAGCCUGUUCCAGUGCUCUACAACCCUUUCCAGGAAGAAAUGUUUCCUAAUAUCCAAUCUGAACCUCCCCUGGCACAACUUGAGGCCGGUGUUCGCAUCAACCCCAAAGUGAGAACCCCCAGACCCGCUUUGAACCAACAGGGCAGCUCAAGACCACCCAGCAAUCCUUUCCUAGCAGAAGAGUAACUCGUUCUUAUAGGACUGAGCUUCAAAUGAGAACUUGACAGAGGUAAUUUCAAGAUUAAAGGGACUUCUCGGUCAGCUGCUUCACCCUGCCUCAGUUUCCCAGAGCGAGCAGUGGCAGCUGAUGCACCUGCCAGGCAGACUGCUGAGGGAGAGGAGUCUGGGGGAAAACAAAAGACGGGAGUCAGGGAAUUGCUUCCACUACACUGCAACACCGGUCCUGUCUCAUCUCUCAACUGCUAGAGCUUUGGGGAGGCUACAAUCUUUCCUGCAUAUGUAACACAUCCCUAUUCAGAUGAUACAGCAUCAUCUCUGCCUGUGCAGCCAAAAGAAACAGCAGCAAACAAGAGCAGAGGGAAACCAUCCUGUUUAAACAUGUUCUUUGUAAAGAACCUGCUACUCACCUGGAUUUGUGAGCAGCACAAUCCGCAGGGAGCCUUUAUCUGCCUCGGAUGACACUGCAGGAGGACUGGAAGCCUAAAUGAGCGACAAAACAGAAUGUCUGUCACUGAAACAACACAUUCCAUUAAGAUCAGGUCAUGAUUUUCAAGGCAAAGAACACGAACCGGUCACAGGCACAACCAGGACCCAGCACAGACCAGGCAUGGCCGCGACACCAAAUCAUCCAGCUCCACCGGAGAGCCCCCAGAGCCUUAAGAAACAUCAGCCUGCUGACAGACAGCCACCCUGUUGCAAAGUUCUGUCUUUAUCACAUCCAAGAAACAGUUUGGAUUGUCACAGAGGAAAUACUUUUCUAAACAAAAUCCCCCAGGGCAGACAAUGCCCAUGAGGAGCUUCUGAGAAAACCAGAGGCUUCCCGUGGGGCCAAGGCUGUGCCCCACUCCCCUCACACACCUCUGACGGAGUCACCAUGUUCCCAUAGCAGACCGGCACGGCGUGCUCGUCUUCCUGGCUGUACUCCACCCUCAAGAUGAUGCAGCGGGGAGUGUGGCCCCUCGGAACAAGUCACGAAACACCACACAGUGUUGGGACAUAGCUAAUAGAGAAGGGGCAUGGCUCUACUGAUCCGUUACAUCAGGAAAAUUUGUUCUGAGUUAGCGUGAGUAGGCCUCUGUUAGCAUGAGUCUGGUGUAGCAUAGUGGAAAAGUACUGAGCGGUUACUCUCGGUCAACUGAGCGUUUAGAUAAACAAGUUUAGGGAACUAUCUCCAGCAGGGUGAGGAGGUUGCAUUCCAGAGAAACCGCAGGAGGGUUGAGUUCAUUAUAUAUGCUAUCCAAUCAAUAGGUGACGAGUAGGCAUAAUUAUUGUAUACUAUCCAAUCAAUAGAUGACGAGUAGGCAUAAUUACUGUAAGUCUUAUAUAAACCAGCUUAAUGUAUCAAUAAAUUGAAGUAUGCUUUAUCACUCA